rnacentral:rRNA from 2 species
AGCGUCUGUGACCCACCCGAUCCCAUCCCGAACUCGGCCGUGAAACCAGUCUGCGCCGAUGGUACUAUUGCUCAAGCACUGGAAGAGUAGGGCGUCGCCAGGC